rnacentral:lncRNA from 7 species
GAGUUUACCUGGGUGUGUAGGCACCUCAUGUGAGCUGGUUGACUAGGCUCUCUCUCCAAUAAACAGAGAGAAAUGAGUACCUUUGAAGAAAGAUUGAUCUUUUCUACAUGAGACACCUAUCUCAGGAAGGGGGACAUGGGCCAUGCGCUGAAGGUUGGGAUUCUGAAGGCACCUAUAUCUCCCUCAGCUGAAGAGCAGACUGGACAAAGAAACCUAGAAACAGAUCCUCUCAGUCAGCUAAAAUGAUAGGAAGAUGCUGUCCAGAGGUAUACCUUGCUAACUCUUUCCAGCUGAGUGAGAAGGAAUACAUGUAUUUGAGAAUUUGGGAGGACAUGAAGAAGACUGCAAACUGGUGAAAAUAGAACUGUGUUUGGCAAUCCAUGGACCAACACACCAGGACUCCCACAAGAUAGUGUGAUAGUGGCCAGGCUCUUUUAUGGGAGAAAUGGAAUAAGCGGUGUAGGUUACUCCCUCCUCCCGGAUGCUUCAGCAGAGUCAUCUUUCCUGUCAGGAGGCAGCCUGGCAGCCCCCUGACCUUGCCAGCAGCCAGGCAAGGCACUACUGGCUUAGAAAAGACAAGCAUUUCAUUUCUGUCCUGCACAGCAUUACCAGUGUAGAUUGUGUCAGCAACAUCUCAGCACAGUAAAACUUGGGGUAAAUACCUCCUGGAGAUGGAGGAAAUGAGUUGCAGCUCUGGAAUAAUUGUUUCAGGCUAUCUGCUGACUCAGGAAAUCAUAUCUGCAUCCGACAAAGGCUGUUCACAUCUCAAAAGUAUUUUAUUGGGCAGUAAAAGGAAGAGAAUAAUUCAAAAACAAGCCUGAGCCUGGUAUAAUCAGAUGAUUCUGAAGCUGUUGCCACAAACAAGAGCAACUUGCUUAAAUGCAGCCCGUUUCCUCUUCUCAUGAAAUUAUCCAUAUCUUUGCUAUAUUACAGUAAAACUUACAUGUCUUCAUCUGUAGCCUCCUGCAUCUUUUCAUUUACCUCCACUUAUUCCUAUGUCUCCAGUCCUUCACGUUUUCUAGAGAGAGUGCCUGAAGUUUGAGAAAUAUUGGAAUAAACAAAACUGGGUUUUG